rnacentral:rRNA from 1 species
UACGGAGGGUGCGAGCGUUGUUCGGAUUCAUUGGGCGUAAAGGGUGCGUAGGCGGCGCGGUAAGUCGGGUGUGAAAUCUCGGAGCUUAACUCCGAAACUGCAUUCGAUACUGCCGUGCUUGAGGACUGGAGAGGGGACUGGAAUUUACGGUGUAGCGGUGAAAUGCGUAGAUAUCGUAAGGAAGACCAGUGGCGAAGGCGGGUCUCUGGACAGUUCCUGACGCUGAGGCACGAAGGUCAGGGGAGCAAACAGG